AUCGAACGCUAGCGGGAUGCUUUACACAUGCCAGUCGAACGGCAGCGCGGACUUCGGUCUGGCGGCGAGUGGCGAACGGGUGAGUAAUGUAUCGGAACGUGCCCAGUAGCGGGGGAUAACUACGCGAAAGCGUAGCUAAUACCGCAUACGCCCUACGGGGGAAAGCAGGGGAUCGUAAGACCUUGCACUAUUGGAGCGGCCGAUAUCGGAUUAGCUAGUUGGUGAGGUAACGGCUCACCAAGGCGACGAUCCGUAGCUGGUUUGAGAGGACGACCAGCCACACUGGGACUGAGACACGGCCCAGACUCCUACGGGAGGCAGCAGUGGGGAAUUUUGGACAAUGGGGGCAACCCUGAUCCAGCCAUCCCGCGUGUGCGAUGAAGGCCUUCGGGUUGUAAAGCACUUUUGGCAGGAAAGAAACGUCGCGGGCUAAUACCCCGUGGAACUGACGGUACCUGCAGAAUAAGCACCGGCUAACUACGUG
rnacentral:rRNA from 1 species